UACGUAGGGGGCAAGCGUUGUCCGGAUUUAUUGGGCGUAAAGAGCUCGUAGGCGGUUGGGCAAGUCACGUGUGAAAUCUCCACGCUCAACGUGGAGGCGCCACGUGAGACUGCCCUGACUCGAGUCCGGUAGGGGAGCGUGGAAUUCCCGGUGUAGCGGUGAAAUGCGCAGAGAUCGGGAGGAACACCCGUAGCGAAGGCGGCGCUCUGGGCCGGUACUGACGCUGAGGAGCGAAGGCCAGGGGAGCAAACGGG
rnacentral:rRNA from 1 species